UACGAAGGGGGGCUAGCGUUGUUCGGAAUUACUGGGCGUAAAGCGCACGUAGGCGGGUUGUUAAGUCAGGGGUGAAAUCCCGGAGCUCAACUCCGGAACUGCCUUUGAUACUGGCAAUCUAGAGACUGGAAGAGGUUAGUGGAAUUCCCAGUGUAGAGGUGAAAUUCGUAGAUAUUGGGAAGAACACCAGUGGCGAAGGCGGCUAACUGGUCCAGUACUGACGCUGAGGUGCGAAAGCGUGGGGAGCAAACAGG
rnacentral:rRNA from 1 species